GCGAGAAAUGAAAUAUACACGGUGGGACAUAUUAUAAUAAUAUAGACUCAAAUGAAAUGAAUACUCCAGCAUUAAAUGGAAAUGAGGGAACACAGAACAGACAAGAAUCAUCCGAUGUAAGUCUUAUACUCCGGGGGACAUCUGAAAAAGCAACAGCCAUCUUCUAUAGCAGAAGCAAUGAUAUUAGAUACAGAAGUAGCUGUUAUAGCGAAUUUUGAAUUUUUGGGACAUACAGACAUGGACAUGGAAGAGGAAAAAGAUGGAGAGGAUGAAAUUUAUGAUGCAAAUACAGAUACCAAACUAAAUAAAGCAUCUCUUUGUUUCUGCUCUUCUUUUCAUAUCUUCAUUAUAUUUUCCUUUGUUCUUCUCAAAAACAUAUUUUGCCAUGUGCGCAUGUGAUUACAAAAUGUAAGAAUAUUUCCAUGUAUCAAUAUAUCUUCUCAUAUAG